GACGAGGGGUCCAAGCGUUGUUCGGAAUCAUUGGGCGUAAAGCGGGUGUAGGCGGCUCUACAAGUCAGAAGUGAAAGCCCCAGGCUUAACCUGGGAAGUGCUUUUGAUACUGUAAAGCUUGAAUGUGGGAGAGGAUGGUGGAAUUCCAGGUGUAGUGGUGAAAUACGUAGAUAUCUGGAGGAACUCCGGUGGCGAAGGCGGCCAUCUGGCCCAACAUUGACGCUGAGACCCGAAAGCGUGGGGAUCAAACAGG
rnacentral:rRNA from 1 species